UACGUAGGUGGCAAGCGUUGUCCGGAAUUAUUGGGCGUAAAGCGCGCGCAGGUGGUUUCUUAAGUCUGAUGUGAAAGCCCACGGCUCAACCGGGGAGGGUCAUUGGAAACUGGGAAACUUGAGUGCAGAAGAGGAAAGUGGAAUUCCAAGUGUAGCGGUGAAAUGCGUAGAGAUUUGGAGGAACACCAGUGGCGAAGGCGACUUUCUGGUCUGUAACUGACGCUGAGGCGCGAAAGCGUGGGGAGCAAACAGG
rnacentral:rRNA from 1 species